CUGUUGGUGUAUUUAAUCAAAAUUGGUGGUAACAGCAUAGACAUGAAAAAAAGUACGCUAUAUUUUUUUCACUAAAUGUCUUGAAAUUUCUUUUCUCUACACUUUCGUUCAAGAAACGAGGCGUUUUAAAUGUAAAGAUUACUUUGCACUUUUGAGAUCAACACUGACUGAUUCAAUAUUCAUAGGGAGAAUAAUUUCACGGCUGAUUUAAGUAGCGGUAACAGGAAAGACAUGAACCUCCUGUACGCAGAUUCAAUUUAGUUUGUAGAUAAUAUGUUACAUACAAUGAUAUAGAAGCUACGAUUUUUCGUUAGAGUAAUAUUAAACGUUCUUAAAAAGUCCCUUUUGCAGAUAUCAAGGCGAUCAGAAAAUCGCAAAAAAAUCAUUUGAAAUGUGUUUUUCUGACACUGUACGCAGACAAAUACCCCCAAAAUGGGUCUUAAAUGCAGUUUAAUCUUAUCAAAAUAGAUGUAAGGUGUGUUUAUUAUUAAUGUUCUGAAUCACAAAUCCGACAAGCUUUCAUUUAAACCAUUACAACUGAAAUUUCCAUUAGAAAUAAAAAAAGUUAGCAUGGGUGUACUGAAAAUUCGACAUUUUUUGAAAACGAC
rnacentral:lncRNA from 1 species